AGAAGCAGAAAUUUGCCAUGGGUGACAUGGAAAGAGCCAACCAAUCAGACGUCACUGAUUUCAUUCACAACUCAGAAGUGACUGACUUCAUUCUUGUAGGCAUCAAGGCAACCUCUGUCAUUGACCUCUCCUACUCCACUGUUACUGUACCUAAAGCCAUGGCCAACAUCUUAUCUUGGAAAACAGUAUCCUUUAACUAAAAUAAUAGUGCCAAAAA